UGGGGAAUAUUGCACAAUGGGGGAAACCCUGAUGCAGCGACGCCGCGUGAGCGAUGAAGGCUUUCGAGUCGUAAAGCUUUGUCCCAUGGGAAGAUAAUGACGGUACCAUAGAAGAAAGCCCCGGCUAAUUACGUGCCAGCAGCCGCGGUAAUACGUAAGGGGCGAGCGUUGUCCGGAAUUAUUGGGCGUAAAGAGUGCUUAGGCGGCAAAUUAAGUCAGGUGUGAAAACUAAGGGCUCAACCCAUAGAUUGCUUCUGAAACUGAUAUGCUUGAGUCAAGGAGAGGAAAGUGGAAGUCCUAGUGUAGCGGUGGAAUGCGUAGAUAUUAGGAGGAAUAACCGUGGCGAAGGCGACUUUCUGGACUUGAACUGACGCUGAGGCACGAAAGAGUGGGGAGCAAACAGG
rnacentral:rRNA from 1 species